UCAGAAAUGAGGAGAUUCGCACGAAAAC
rnacentral:sRNA from 1 species